UACGAGUAAAGAUGCUCGUUACGCGCAGAAGGACGGAAAGACCCCGUGACCUUUACUAUAGUUUGGUAUUGGUGUUCGGUGUGGCUUGUGUAGGAUAGGUGGGAGACUGUGAAGCGGGCACGCCAGUGUUCGUGGAGUCGUCGUUGAAAUACCACUCUGGUCACUCUGGAUAUCUAACUUCGGCCCGUGAUCCGGGUCAGGGACAGUGCCUGAUGGGUAGUUUAACUGGGGCGGUUGCCUCCUAAAAUGUAACGGAGGCGCCAAAAGGUUCCCUCAGCCUGGUUGGCAAUCAGGUGUCGAGUGCAAGUGCACAAGGGAGCUUGACUGUGAGAGUGGCAGCUCGAGCAGGGACGAAAGUCGGGACUAGUGAUCCGGCG
rnacentral:rRNA from 1 species